UACGGAGGGAGCUAGCGUUGUUCGGAAUUACUGGGCGUAAAGCGCGCGUAGGCGGCUUUGUAAGUUAGAGGUGAAAGCCCGGGGCUCAACCCCGGAACAGCCUUUAAGACUGCAUCGCUAGAAUCCGGGAGAGGUGAGUGGAAUUCCGAGUGUAGAGGUGAAAUUCGUAGAUAUUCGGAAGAACACCAGUGGCGAAAGCGGCUCACUGGACCGGUAUUGACGCUGAGGUGCGAAAGCGUGGGGAGCAAACAGG
rnacentral:rRNA from 1 species